CUCAGGUGCGAAAGCGUGGGGAGCAAACAGGAUUAGAUACCCUGGUAGUCCACGCCGUAAACGAUGUCGACUUGGAGGUUGUGCCCUUGAGGCGUGGCUUCCGGAGCUAACGCGUUAAGUCGACCGCCUGGGGAGUACGGCCGCAAGGUUAAAACUCAAAUGAAUUGACGGGGGCCCGCACAAGCGGUGGAGCAUGUGGUUUAAUUCGAUGCAACGCGAAGAACCUUACCUGGUCUUGACAUCCACGGAAGUUUUCAGAGAUGAGAAUGUGCCUUCGGGAACCGUGAGACAGGUGCUGCAUGGCUGUCGUCAGCUCGUGUUGUGAAAUGUUGGGUUAAGUCCCGCAACGAGCGCAACCCUUAUCCUUUGUUGCCAGCGGUCCGGCCGGGAACUCAAAGGAGACUGCCAGUGAUAAACUGGAGGAAGGUGGGGACGACGUCAAGUCAUCAUGGCCCUUACGACCAGGGCUACACACGUGCUACAAUGGCGCAUACAAAGAGAAGCGACCUCGCGAGAGCAAGCGGACCUCAUAAAGUGCGUCGUAGUCCGGAUUGGAGUCUGCAACUCGACUCCAUGAAGUCGGAAUCGCUAGUAAUCGUGGAUCAGAAUGCCACGGUGAAUACGUUCCCGGGCCUUGUACACACCGCCCGUCACACCAUGGGAGUGGGUUGCAAAAGAAGUAGGUAGCUUAACCUUCGGGAGGGCGCUUACCACUUUGUGAUUCAUGACUGGGGUGAAGUCGUAACAAGGUAACCGUAGGGGAACCUGCGGUUGGAUCACCUCCUUACCUUAAAGAAGC
rnacentral:rRNA from 1 species